rnacentral:lncRNA from 1 species
AGAUUCGCUUUAUGGACCACUCAGCAAUAUUUAUAAAUAUUCUAUAUGUUCCUGGAAAUAAUAUGUAUAUUUUCUGUAGUUACUGGUUGCAGUUUUCUGCAGAUGUUCCCUACGUCACCUUUGUAAUUGUUUUGUUCAGAUCUUCUAGAUCUUUACUGAUUUUCAUUUGUUUUGUAAGUUAUCACUGAAAUCUCUGACUGUGAUUGGGCUUUUGCCUUUUUUGCAUCUUGUCAAUUUUUAUCUUAUAUAUUUUGAGAUGAUGGUAUUAGGUGCACAAAAAUUUCUAGUUUACUAUAGCUUCAGGAUGAAUUGAAAAAUGUAUCAUUAGGAUAAGGUUUUUUUCCUUAAGGUCUGCUUUGGUCUGGUAUUAAUAUAGUCAAAACAGCUUUUAAAAAUUUAGUGUUUAUAUAGUAUAUUUUCUGCCUUUCUCUUUCUUUCUUUUGAAGUAUAGUUGAUUUACAGUGUUGUGUUAAUUUCUGCUGCACGGCCAAGUGAUUCUGUUUUUAUAUACAGUCUCUUUUUAAGAAUUAUUUUCCACAUGGUUUAUCAUAGGAUAUUGAUUGAAUAUAGCUCCUUGUGCUAUGCAGUAGGACCUUAUUUAUUUUAAUUAAUUAAUUAAUUUAUUUAUUUAUUUUUAGGGCCAUGCCCCCGGCAUACGGAGGUUCCCAGGCUAGGGGGUCCAACUGGAGCUAUAGCCACUGGCCUACGCCACAGCCACAGCAAUGCUGGAUCUGAGCCACGUCUGCGACCUACACCACAGCUCACGGCAAUGCUGAAUCCUUAACCCACUGAGCGAGGCUAGGGACUGAACCUGAAACUUUAUGGUUCCUAGCUGGAUUCAUUUUCACUGCGCUACGAACUUCUAUAAACUACUUAUAAUUUAAAAAUAUCCUAUUGAAAUUGUAUGUCUUUUAAUUGGAAUGACUAGUCCAUAUAUUUAAUGUAAUUCCUGAUAUAUUUGAGUUCAAAUCUACUCUCUUAGUACAUCUUCUUUGGUGUUUCACUGAGCCGUAAAACAGUGAUUCCAGGAAGAUAGAUGGGGUGGGGGUAGGAAAAAAAACUGGGUAGGGAGUCAGGAGACCUAAGUUUUAGGCUUUCUCAUAGUUUUGUGACUUUGGAUAAGUCAUUUACCUUCUUUGGCUAUUUUUACUUCUUCACUUAAAUAAAGGAACUGGAUUAGAAGAUGACUGAAGUUUUCUAUAAUUCGAGAUAUAAUGGUAGAAAGGAAAACUUUAUGAGACAGUGACGCAGGUAUUGGAGAAGGGGAAAUUGUGCCUGUAUUGUCGAGGGUGAUUGCAGACACUGAUUUUUUCAGGAGUUGUGACUUUCUGAAGAAAUGCUAAUGACUAAAACAGACAUCUAAACAGAGCUAUAAUGGAAGGAGGCUUUGCCAGUUCAUUAUCUUUGAAAGGAAUUUAAAAUGUUCUUUUCAAUUGGAGGCAGGAAUCUUUCAAAUUCUUUUUUCCCCAAGGAUGGUGCCUCACAAUAUGGGAAGAGGCUUACCUUUCACUAUACACAUGGCAGACAUUUGUAACUGGAGAAAUUACCCUCUAUGUAAAUAUUGUCCAGUAAAUUAAUCAAACUUCGGCUGAGAACUGAUUAAAUAUCAGGUGCUUAGUUAGAUGCCUCAAAGAUGGAGAACAGAUGGUUUUGUGCCUCAGGGAGUUUUAAUCUGGAGAUGCUGAAUGGAGAAUCAUUUAGGUCUAACCAGGAAAAACAGAAACACCUCUAAGUAUUUAAAAUGAGGGAAUUUAAUGCAAAAAGUAGUUACACAGACUGUUGAGAAGCCAACAGAGGGAUGGUGCGGUGAACCAAGACAUGAUGCAGACCUGCUACCGGGAUGGUUUUUAGAGGCAAGGAAAAAAAAGAACGGUCCGUGGUAAGUGAGGUGGAAAUGCCAGAAUGUCCAUGGAAGGUGGUGGAAAUAGGAUUAAAAAGCUCAGAGUAAAGGCAGCAAAACCACCAGAUUGUGUGCCAUGGAAAAGAUUGGAGGACACACAGUUUAGUAAAUAAGUAAGAAAUGCACUGCUAAGGGGGACACCAGCAUCUAUUAGAAGUCUGGUGGUGGCUCCUUGGCUUGCCACGGGUGACUGUAGGAGACACCCUAUCAGAACUGAGUUUACUGAUAGUAGUGGAGGAAGCAGCACUCUGGGAAAUUGAGGUCAGAGUGGACAUUAACUAUGGGGGGGGGGCGCAAUUACCAUAAUACAUUGAAAGGUCAGAGAAGCAACCAGGAAGGUCUUCCUGCAAAGAGUUACCAAGAUGCUUAUUGGGGAGGUCAGUGGUUAACAAACCCGACUAGUAUUUAUGAGGAUGUGGGUUUGAUCCCCGGCCUUGCUCAGUGGGUUAGGGAUCCGGUGUUGCCGUGAGCUGUGGUAUAGGUUGCAGACGCGGCUCAGAUCUGGCAUUGCUGUGGCUGUAGCUGAGGCUGGCAGCUCCGGCUCUUAUUUGAUGCCCAGCCUGGGAACCUCCAUAUGCCGUGGGUGCGGCCCUAAAAAUUAAAAAAAGAAAAAAAAGAAAAAAGAUGCUUCUUGGCGAAUGGCCUCUCUCCAGGAGCAAAAACAGAUGAACAGUCAAUAGGAGUACUACUGAGUCUAUAUGAUCAAAGAAAUCAAGGAUGGGUGAUCAGGAGGCUGAGAUGAAUCACUCUCAAUAAAAAGGCACAACUGCUCACCAGACUUGAAUCAGUUUUGGAACCUGAAACCCAGUGAAGGGCCAGCAAUCCAGGAGGAAAGACCCUUCAAUAUAACACAAGUAUCUACAGUAAUGAGUCUGCUAGGUUUUCUUCAGAGGGAUUUAUAGCCAUUUAGGGGAGUAACUGUACACUGGGGAAAGGGGAACGCCCAGACAUUUCAAGGACUGUUGGACACAGGAUCCCAACUUACGUUAACACCUAGAGGCCAAAGUGUCACCAUGACCCCCCUGUUACGGUGGGGGCAGAGGAGACCAAGUUUGAAGGCCUGGCUAUAGUCCAGCUCACAUAUCCGUGAGGUCUGUGGACUUGAGUCAUCAUGUCCCAGGUUUUUUUUUUUUUCUUUCUUUUCUUUUUUUUUUCGUUUUGGUUGAAGUAAAGUUGAUUUGCAAUAUUAUGAGAGUUUUAGGUGUACAACAUAGGGAUUCAAUAUUUUUAUGGACUACAUUCCAAUUAGAUGUAUGAUAAAACGAUGGUUAUAUUCCCUGUGCUGUACCCUGCAUCCUUGCUGCUUAUCUGUUUUACACAUAGUGGUUUGUAUCUUUUAAUUCCCUGCCCUUCUCCUUCCCUCUGCCCACUGGUAACCACUGGUUUGUUCUCUAUAUCUGUGCGUCUGCUUCUUUUUUGUUAUGUACAUUUAUUGAUUGAUUGAUUGAUUGAUUGAUUGUCUUUUGUCUUUUUAGGGCCACACUGGCAGCAUGUGGAGGUUCCCAGG